GACAGAGAAUAGAUUUGCAUCUGAUGCUCCUCCUUCUCUUAACUGCACAAAGAGGAUAAGAUGGGUGUUGGAGAGUACAGACCCGGGUGAGAAGUCUCAGAGCAGAACUCCUUGAAGCCUCUCCCCACCAUGGACUGGGUCCCCUUUUACCUCCUGCCCUUCAUUUUCUCUACAGGUGUCUGUGCUCCUCCUGUGCUGACCCAGACUCCAAGUGCAUCUGCCUCCCUGGAAGCCUCCGUCAAGCUCACAUGCACUCUGAGCAGUGAGCACAGCAGUUACCUUAUUUACUGGUAUCAACAACAACAACCAGGGAAGGCCCCUCAGUAUCUGAUGAAGGUUAACAGUGAUGGAAGCCACAGCAGGGGAGACGGGAUCCCCAGUCGCUUCUCAGGCUCCAGGUCUGGGGCUGACCGCUAUUUAACCAUGUCUAACAUCCAGUCUGAGGAUGAGGCAGAUUAUUACUGUUUUACACCCGCUAGUAGCAAUAGCCACAGUGACACAGACAAAUGGGGAAGUGAGCACAAAACCUCUCACCCUCUCUCUUCUCUUCCCUGUGGGGAUUCAGGGGGAGCUGCAGCCUGUCCUUCUCCAGGGCCCUGAGACCUAUGACUCUUCUUGCAAACUCUGUCAUGCUGUACCUCUGUUCCAAGAGGAAGGCCAAAAUUUAGGUAAUUUUGGCAGAGAGUAUUCUCCUUCCUCUCCAUAAUUCUUGAAAAGACCCAAGCUACCCAGGCAAGAAAUUGAGUCUAUGGGAUAUCUGGGCUGACAUGACCCCAUGA